rnacentral:rRNA from 1 species
AACCUAUGCAGGGGAAUAACCUCGGGAAACUGAGUAUAAUGCCCCAUAGUCCACUACGCCUGGAACGGUGAGUGGAUCAAAGCUCAGGCGGCAUAGGAUGGGCCUGCGGCGUAUCAGGUUGUAGGGGGUGUAAAGUACCCUCUAGCCAUCUACGCGUACGGGUGUUGGGAGACAUAGCCCGGAGAUGGAUUCUGAGACACGAAUCCAGACCCUACGGGGUGCAGCAGGCGCGAAAACUUGACAAUGCGAGCAAUCGUGAUCAGGGAACUCCAAGUGGCUGGGGUAAGACCCAGUCUUUUCAUAACUCUUCAAAGGUUGUAGAAUAAGGGGUGGGUAAGGACGGUGCCAGCCGCCGCGGUAAUACCGGCGCCUCAAGUGGUAGUCGCUUUUAUUGGGCCUAAAACGUCCGUAGCCUGUUUGGUAAAUCUGUGGGUAAAUCAAUCCGCUCAACGGAUUGAAUUCUGCAGAGACUGCCAGACUAGGGACCGGGAGAGGUGUGGGGUACUCGAGGGGUAGGGGUAAAAUCCUGUCAUCCUUCGAGGACCACCAGUUGCGAAGGCGCCACACUGGAACGGAUCCGACGGUCAGGGACGAAGCCUAGGGGCACGAACCGGAUUAGAUACCCGGGUAGUCCUAGGUGUAAACGCUGUGAACUUGGUGUCGGGGGUCCGCAAGGGGUCCCCGGUGCCGGAGUGAAGAUG